AAUACAAGAUGGUAUACUA
rnacentral:siRNA from 1 species